rnacentral:sRNA from 14 species
GUCAGGAGCCUGGGAGUAGCAAACCCCACGGAUAAAUCCGGGGGCUUGUGAAUCAUUACCUGACCAGCCCAAGUCCCAUCAGGGACUACGUUAUCAGCAAGAGUUAAAGUUCCUACCUUGAAAUGCGACGCUAGUUUCAAGCUCUAGA